rnacentral:rRNA from 1 species
AGGACGAACGCUGGCGGCGUGCCUAACACAUGCAAGUGGAGCGACGACCCGGGCUUCGGCCCGGUGCAAAGCCGCGAACGGGUGAGUAACACGUGGGUAACCUGCCCUGAUGAUCGGGACAACUCGAGGAAACUCGGGCUAAUACCGAAUGUGCCCUCCGGCCGUAAGGCCUCUGGGGAAAGGAAGCUUCGGCCUCCGCAUCGGGAUGGGCCCGCGGCCCAUUAGCUUGUUGGUGAGGUAACGGCUCACCAAGGCAACGAUGGGUAGCUGGUCUGAGAGGACGAUCAGCCACACUGGGACUGAGACACGGCCCAGACUCCUACGGGAGGCAGCAGUGGGGAAUCUUGCGCAAUGCGCGAAAGCGUGACGCAGCAACGCCGCGUGGGGGAAGAAGGCCUUCGGGUUGUAAACCCCGUUUCAGUUGGGACGAAGCUUCGGCGGUGAAUAGCCGUCUGAAGUGACGGUACCUUCAGAAGAAGCCCCGGCUAACUACGUGCCAGCAGCCGCGGUAA